rnacentral:rRNA from 1 species
GGCCUGGCUGCGUGGUCUUGCCACUGGUAAGCACUGCGCUGGUCGGGUCUUUCCUUCUGGGGAGUGUGCGUGCUCUUAACUGGGUGCGCACAGGAUCCAGGACUUUUACUUUGAAAAAAUUAGAGUGUUUAAAGCAGGCCUACGCUUGAAUACAUUAGCAUGGAAUAAUAGAAUAGGACU